AGUAACACAUGGGUACCUACCUUUCAGUGAGGGAUACCGGCGAGAAAUCGCCGACAAUACCGCAUAGGCUUCCUGUCACAGGGAAGCAAAGUGGCGCAAGUCACGCUGGAAGAUGGGCCUGUGGCCGAUUAGCUAGUUGGGGGGUAACAGCCUCCCAAGGCGACGAUCGGUAGCUGGUCUGAGAGGACGAUCAGCCACACUGGGAUUGAGAACGGCCCAG
rnacentral:rRNA from 1 species